rnacentral:lncRNA from 1 species
GCAUUUAUAACAAAAUAUAUAAGCUUCUGAUACACGAAAAAUGAAUGAAUAAACAAAAAAUAUUGAAAAAAUUACUACCAUUGAUUACACACACAACUAUGCUAAUAAUAAUGCAACACACUAUUAAUUUUCUAUAUACAUCAUCACCAGCAUGGUGAUACAAAUAUAGGACAUGGUAUAGCAUUCAUAAAGUAUAUGUAACUUGGUCAGACUCUAUAAUGAACUAAGCUGCAGCAGUCCCAUUUUGUGUGGAGUAACAAAAACCUAAGUUACGCUGUGGCUGUAGAGUUUUCCGAUGUGUUGGGCUUUCAUCGAAUUCUGCACGAUUCAAUGACUUCACUAACUGCUUUAUGAGUCUCUGGUGAAAUCAUGUUCAAUGACAGAUGA